GAGCAGUAAGCCUGGGGGAGCAGAGAGAGACAGAUUGAGUAGGCGCUUCUCUGCUUAUCCCUGACUAGAAGGCAAUGAGUUUCCUUCCAAGCAACCUGCUCAUAGCCGUGGAUACUGAUAUGAGUGGACACGCCUCUCUCCUCUCUGCUCAGGAUACGGAAAAAGCUUGAGGGAGGGAGAGGAGGAGGAGGAGGAGGAAGGGCAGCAAAGGAGGGGCAUGGAGAGUGAGGCGCAGGACAUUUGCAAACAGAUUGAGUCAGUCAGCUGAGAAAGAGAGAGAGAGAGGGGGGGAUAGAGAGUGAUAGGGAGUGAAUAACUAACUGUUGAUGUGCUUAAAGCUGUUCUGGGUUGAGGAGCUGAGUGUAUUGUGAAUCAUGGCCUUCAGGAAGAGGAGCUUCACUUUUGGCGCCUAUGGAGGAGUGGACAAAAGUUUCUCCAAGGCUAGGAGUCACUGGAAACAUGAUGGCAGAGUCCCUCGAAUCUCUGAUGUGUUAGAGCAUCCCCUGAGCCCCCUACAACCCCUGCCCGUUCCUUCUGGGCUUCCUAAGACCUCAGAUUUAUUUGCGAUGAUCGAGCGGAUGCAGAACAGCAGAAUGGAUGAGCAGAGAUGCACACUUCCACCCCCCCUCAAAACAGAGGAAGACUACAUUCCAUAUCCAGGUGUUCAUGAGGUGCUGUCUCGGAAAGCCCCCUUUCCCUUAAUUUUGCUGCCUCAGUUUGGAGGUUAUUGGAUUGAAGGCACCAAUCAUGACCUCAGUUCGACCCCUGCUCCUGAGGAGCCACCUCCAUGCCCAGCAUCACAGAUUAAACUGGAGACAAACAGCACAGCAAAGAUCUACAGAAAAGACUUCAUGGGCAAGGAGCACUUUAAUUAUUACUCUAUGGACACCGCACUGGGCCACCUCGUCUUCUCCGUGAAGUAUGACGUGAUCGGGGACCAAGAGCACCUGCGUUUAAUGCUCAGGUCAAAGUACAAAACCUACCAUGAUGUGAUACCUAUUUCCUGUCUCACUGAGUUUCCUAACGUGGUGCAGAUGGCAAAGCUGGUGUGUGAAGAAGUGAAUGUGGACAGAUUUUACCCUGUACUCUACCCAAAGGCCUCCAGACUCAUUGUAACAUUUGAUGAACAUGUCAUAAGCAACAAGUUCAAGUUUGGGGUCAUCUAUCAGAAGUUUGGACAGACAUCAGAAGAGGAGCUUUUUGGAAACAGUGUGGAGAGUCCCGCCUUCGUUGAGUUCCUGGAGUUUUUAGGGCAGAAGAUUGAGCUGCAUGAUUUUAAAGGGUUUCGAGGAGGCCUCGAUGUCACACACGGUCAAACUGGAAGUGAGUCGGUGUACCACAACUUCCACAACAAAGAAAUCAUGUUCCACGUUUCCACUAAACUUCCCUACACUGAAGGAGACUCACAGCAGGUAAGGACUGUCCUUUCAUAUUGUGCCAUCUGUCAAAUUCUGCUUGUUUUUCACACUGGGGCUGCACAUAAUAAUUUUUGCAAUAUUCUCUGUGCACAUUGUGUAGAGGAGGCUGUCAUACCUGUGCUAAAAGGCAUGUCAUUGCAGGUGUCAGUGACAGCGAGAGAUGACGUGCCUUUCUUCGGGCCUGCUCUCCCAGACCCAGCUGUAUUCAAAAAGAGCCCAGAAUUUCAUGAGUUCCUCCUGACAAAACUCAUCAAUGCUGAGUAUUCCUGCUAUAAGGCUGAGAAGUUUGCCAAGUUGGAGGAGAGAACACGCUCUGCACUGCUGGAAACUCUGUACGAGGAGCUGCAUGUGAACAGCCAGUGCAUGAUGGGAUUGGGAGGAGAUGAUGAUAAGCUGGAGAACGGAGGUGGAGGAGGAGGAGGCUUUUUUGAGUCUUUUAAGAGAGUAAUUCGCAGUAGGAGUCAGUCUAUGGACGCUAUGGGCCUGAGCAAUAAGAAGCCUCACACUGUCUCGACCAGCCACAGUGGCAGCUUUACCCACAAUCCCCCAGACACACCCAAAACGCCGGGAAUUGUGAGUAUUUCUUCUACUUUCCAGUUAUUGAAGAUCGUCACUCUUAAUUCUUUGAUCAUACCCGGUAAGAGCCCAACCCGGAAGAAAUCAGGCCCGUUCAGCUCCAGACGAAGCAGCGCCAUCGGUAUUGAGAACAUCCAGGAGGUCCAGGAGAGAAGUAGGGAGGUGUCCCCCAGCACACAGAAAACACCCGACAGUGGCCACGCCUCACAGGACCCCAGAUCUGAUAACUCCUCCAAUCACAGCUCACCUGAGAUGCCCACCACCAGGACUAGAGCACCCUCCAUCCCAGAGACUCAUGACCUGUCUCGUUCCUCGUCCAACGCCAGCAGCUUUACCAGUGUAGUAGAGGAAAACGAGCACGAACAAGAAGCUACAGAGGACUACGACACAGGACUGGAGAGCCUGUCUUCUGCCGGGACUCCUCACAAACGAGACUCACUAACAUACAGUGCUGGCUGGCUGGAGGAGAGCAUUAACAGCACUGGCCAAGGCAGCCCAGUCCCCACUCGACCGACGUCUGACCCUGUUCGACCCAAAACAGAGAGACAGCACUCUGCGUCGGUGAGAGCUUAUUACAGUUUCAUAUUGAUUUGAUGGACACUAUAGAGCUAAGAAUUAUGAAUGUUAAGAUUAAAGUUGCUUAAUGUUGUAAUGAGUCCUGCAAUGCUUUUGACGCUCUGUAUAAUAUGUGUGUGUGUGUGUGUGUGUGUGUGUGUGUGUGUGUUUGUUCUUCUGUACAGAACUGUUAGGCUCUUCUCACAGAUUAUUUCAUGGAUGUCCAUCAGAAGGUACAGCUUUUCAGAUCAAAUAUACUGUAGAGGGGUAUACUGCAUGAGGGGUAUACUGCAUUUGGGACACUCAACUGAGUAUACAAUCAUAUGAAAAAGUUUGGGCACCCCUAUUAAUCUUAAUCAUUUUUAGUUCUAAAUAUUUGGGUGUUUGUCCUCAACUGUUCUCACCAUUCUUCUUCUCUGCCUUUCUGAUAUUUUUCUUGGCCUG
rnacentral:lncRNA from 1 species